rnacentral:rRNA from 1 species
GACGAACGCUGGCGGCGUGCUUAACACAUGCAAGUCGAACGGAAAGGCCCUGCUUGUGUGGGCUGCUCGAUUGCCGAACGGGUGAGUAACACGUGAGCAACCUGCCCUUGACUUUGGGAAAACUUCACGAAACUGGGCCUAAUAUCGGACAGGAGAUCCUGUAGCAGGGUGGGGGGGGGAAAGUUUCGGCGGGUGGGGAUGGACGCGGGGCUGAUCAGCUUGCUGGUGGGGUAGUGGCAUACCAAGGCUUUGACGGGUAGCCGGCCGGCGAGGGGGACCGGCCACAUUACGACUGCGAUACGGCCCAGACUCAUACGGUAGGCAACGGUGGCGAGUAUUACACAGUCGGCGGGAGCCUGAUGCAGCACCGCCGCGUGCGGGAAGACGACCUGCGGGUAGUGAACCGCAUUUGCUUGAGACGACGCGUGAGUGACGGUACUCGGUGAAGAAGCACCGGCUAACUUCGUG